AUGUGGCAUUGCCACAACUGCACUAGCCUGCUUGUUUUGCAUUUUUCCAGCAUGCUACCAUUUGCAGUUGUGGAUUUUAUGUAUAGUGGAGGUGUAGCUAUUGUACACUGCAAGUGGUUUACAGGACCAGAGGAAGAUGCUUGUUACUGGCCACCAGGACGAGUCAACAUCAGCAAGGCAGUGAAGGAUGGACUUGUUCCAAACACUGACUGGCCGCAGUUUAAAGUGCGCAUCUUGGGAAAAGCAGGAAACUAUGCCCAUGCCACAGCAAAGCUUUUGAAGUCUCAGGUGAACUCUGACUUGCAGACAAAGUCAGAUUCCAGAGGAAGGAUGGGAAAAGGGAAGGUCAAAAGAAGGCCAGUGAUUCUGUCAAGCUCAGAUGAGGAAUCAGAUGGUGCUGGGCAUGAUCAUCCACCAUCCAAUGUGCCUUCACCUCCCCCAGUUCCAGAGAACCUCCAACCAGAGGCCCCCCACUCGCUCAACACCCGUCCAUUUAUCCAGCCCUCUCCACCUUCAACACCUUCAGUUGUUACACCAGAUAACCCACGUAGACGUCUGCAAGGUGUCAAUUCUGCAUUUAGAGAUGGCAUGUUUGUACACCUCCUAACCCUCCUGGAGGAAAUCAAGGAGACGCAGAGGGUUCAUGGGAAGAUGAUACAAUCACUCCUCACACAACGUGAUGCAACCACUGUUGCAGCACUACCUGAUGUCAUUUUCCCCCUUAAAACGGUCUCGGAUGUUGAAGCAAUGGAGCGGAAAUUGGCAGACCCCACCUUUCACAAAGAAGUGGUUGCCGUGGUGGCAGAUAUUGGAGGGAGUACUGUGGAUGAAGCCACUCGGAGAAUGAUGGCCUUCCUUUAGGACCACCCGUUAUCAAGAGAGUACAAUUUUGUUGGGCGCCAUGGAAAGGGAGAAUUCCGGGGACUCAAACUGUUUGAGGUUUUAUACGGCAGCUUGAAAAAAAAAAAAUGGCCUUACAAACCAAAUAAAUAGAAAAGAUGCUGAAAAGGCAGUGUCAAAGUGGCUAAUUGGUGCCAGGGACAGGUGAGGAACCCGUACUGCAAGGGCACAUGCAGGAGAGCAAGAUGGGUAUAAGUCGCUAUGCUUUAAAUGGAACUACAAUGAACAAAAUGUUGACAUAAAUAUAAAUCCAGGGCAUCUUUAUGUAUUUGGUUAAUAUGCAAAUUACUGUAGUUGAACUAGUAGGGCCCUAUGAAACAUGAAUAAUACAUAUUUAAAUAAUUUUUUUGCAUUUAUUAAUCACAGACAAUAGUCCAUAUCGCGAUUAUAAUUUGAUUAACAGCCCUACUAUUGAUUUUUUUAAUAAAAAAAAAAGACAAAUUCCGUGACAUUCCACGUUAUACAGUAAAUUCCAUUUUUAUGACUUGAUUCCGCGCUUCCGUCCACGUUUUCCGCAUCGCGGAUAUCAUAGGGCCCUAAACUACAAAACUUGACUGCCUGUCAUAGUGUUUAUGUAUUUUCUGCUGAGACAGCAUUUCCACUUUUAAAAAGUCUGUUAAAUGCCGGAUCAGGGUCAUGGUCAACACAAAAAGGCCAGCCCCAUGAUACAAUAAAAUAAUAAUAUAAUAAAUAAUAUGAAUUCAAAUCCUAAGGCUAACCUGACACAUCUGUUUUAACUGUGAAAAAGGGAAUAAAAAGAGUGGCAAAAUGGUUGAUUCAUUUAUUUUCUCUAUUCAAAGGGCCGUUGGGAGGGUGAGGACGGAGGAGUGAGGAGCUGCACUGCAAUUUUGUUUUACUCAAGUUAUUCAGAUUAUUUUUUAUAUAAGUUUUAUACAUGUUAUUUUUCAGAGUUUUUAAUAACUUUAGAACAUAACUUAAAGUUAUGUUAAUAUGUUAUGCAAGUUAUGUACAAAUUAUUCCCACAAAAAUGACUGGUCUCUCUUCAUUGAAGCAAUACAUUUUACAUUUUAGUGUACUUAAGUCGGUUAAAUGUAAUAUUUGUAUUUAGGGGUUUACUGUAAAAUAAGGUAACCCAAGCAGACAAAUAUGGUAGCCCAUUUAUAUACCUGUUGUGGCCCAUAAGACCAUUAGACAAGACCUCGCUGGGUCCCAUCAUCAACCCAUGUAGGCAGACUCCUGUAGGCUCCAAAUGGGAGAAACCUGGGCUAACCCAUGUGAGGCCUCCAUGGAAAAUGAGGACAAAAUUGACUGGGCCCCAAAUAUCAGCCCAGGUGCAACCCCUUUGGGCCCCACAUGGGAGUGCUGGCUGGGAGCAGUAUACAUUCCUUAAUAUAUUUAUUUUUAAAUGUUAGAACUAUAAAACAGACAUAACACAAGAAGAACAUGACUGCCAGAUCACCACUUCAUAACCUCAGACUAAUCAGAAACAAUGACCUAGUAUCUAUGACCUAGUAUCAACAACAAAGAUUUUAAAAUAAAUACAUUAACUUACAUUUAUUUGAACACAAAAUCCAUGCUUCUAUCCUUGUGAAUGAACAUUUCCGUCACUUUGUUGUAAAAGUCGACCUCUUGUCGAAGUUUUGAUAGCCUCUCAUUCUCUAUUUUUAAUUGAAACUAACUAACUGCCAAAUCUACGUAGGUCGCUGAUGCUUGCAGUAUAUACAUUUUAGCACUUACUAACGCAUUAGGUGAACUUGUAUGUGUUGACACAAAACUAAAAUCUAGCCUAUCAGAUGACUGAAAGAAGGAGCUUCUGAUUGGCUUAAACAAUAUGGUAAGCAUGCUUACCUUGGCCAUUUGUAGUAAUGGGCAUGAUUCAGUUUGAAUAAAUGAAAGGGCGGUAAACAAUGGAAUCAGAGAAAGCAAAACAUAAAGUGCUUAUACCUGAGGGUGGCGCCAAAGCAAAUAAAUGAAUAACUGUGGAAAAGAUGACGAAUUUGAACAAAAACAGUAGUUUAUAUUAACAAUUACAUUUAAAUAUUUCAUACUGUCAUUUUUCUUUUCACCCUUCUGUUAGGUAAGCACUGCUUUUCUUAUAUGGAUGGCACAU